rnacentral:rRNA from 1 species
AUUGAACGCUGGCGGCAGGCCUAACACAUGCAAGUCGAACGGUAACAGGAAGAAGCUUGCUUCUUUGCUGACGAGUGGCGGACGGGUGAGUAAUGUCCGGCAAACUGCCUGAUGGAGGGGGAUAACUACUGGAAACGGUAGCUAAUACCGCAUAACGUCGCAAGACCAAUGAGGGGGACCUUCGGGCCUCUUGCCCUCGGUUGUGCCCAGAUGGGAUUAGCUAGUAGGUGGGGUAACGGCUCACCUCGGCGACGGUCCCUAGCUGGUCUGUGAGGAUGACCAGCCACACUGGAACUGAGACACGGUCCAGACUCCUACGGGAGGCAGCAGUGGGGAAUAUUGCAAAAUGGGCGCAAGCCUGAUGCAGCAAUGCCGCGUGGAUGAAGAAGGCCUUCGGGUUGUAAAGUACUUUCAGCGGGGAGGAAGGGAGUAAAGUUAAUACCUUUGCGCAUUGACGUUACCAGCAGAAGAAGCACCGGCUAACUCCGUG